rnacentral:rRNA from 1 species
ACUAAAUAGAUACCCGGGUAGUCCACGCCGUAAACGAUGAUCACUCGCUGUUGGCGAUACACAGUCAGCGGCUAAAGCAAAAAGCAUUAAGUGAUCCACCUGGGGAGUACGGCCGCAAGGCUGAAACUCAAAGGAAUUGACGGGGGCCCGGCCACAAGCGGAGGAACAUGUGGUUUAAUUUACGAUGAUACGCGAGGAACCGUUACCUGGGCGUUAAACUAGUAGAGUGCAUUGGUUGAGAAAUCAUCAUUUUCUUUCGGAACUCUCUGCAAGGUGCUGCAUGGUUGUCGUCAGCUCGUGCCGUGAGGUGUCGGGUUAAGUCCCAUAACGAGCGCAACCCUUAUCGUUAGUUGCCAGCGGGUAAUGCCGGGGACUCUAGCGAAACUGCCGGUGUAAACCCGAGAGGAAGGUGGGGUAUGACGUCAAAUCAGCAC